rnacentral:rRNA from 1 species
GACGAACGCUGGCGGCGUGCUUAACACAUGCAAGUCGAACGGAAAGGCCCUGCUUUUGUGGGGUGCUCGAGUGGCGAACGGGUGAGUAACACGUGAGUAACCUGCCCUUGACUUUGGGAUAACUUCAGGAAACUGGGGCUAAUACCGGAUAUGAGCUCCUGCUGCAUGGUGGGGGUUGGAAAGUUUCGGCGGUUGGGGAUGGACUCGCGGCUUAUCAGCUUGUUGGUGGGGUAGUGGCUUACCAAGGCUUUGACGGGUAGCCGGCCUGAGAGGGUGACCGGCCACAUUGGGACUGAGAGACGGCCCAGACUCCUAAGGGAGGCAGCAGUGGGGAAUAUUGCACAAUGGGCGGAAGCCUGAUGCAGCAACGCCGCGUGCGGGAUGACGGCCUUAGGGUUGUAAACCGCUUUCGCCUGUGACGAAGCGUGAGUGAAGGUAAUGGGUAAAGAAGCACAGGCUAACUACGUG